UGUGGCCACGUGACUGGUGUGCAGCAGGUCGUGGGCCAGGAAGGGGCCCCUCGCCGCGCGCUCCCGCCUCUCCGGCCGUGCUGGCCUUGGCCUCACAGCCACGCAGCCGUCUCCUGGAUCACCUGGUGAGCUGCCCGGUCCCCAGAUGGCGGAACCAAAGACCAGCACGAUGUGUGGCCGCAGAAUAAAUCAGUGUCUCCGAUUUCAUACCGGGAAGCUGCGUGCUGCCUCUGAGCCGGGCCCGUCUCACUCUCAUCAGUAAACUCAACAAAACCAGAGACCAGGGGAAGGAAAACACCGAGUCAUGGAAAGAGCAGGAAAAGGAUGCUCUCUGUCUAUAGCCAGAGAAAGAUGUGGAACCAAGGUGAAGUUCUCCAGUGACAUCAUGGGGAAGUCCUUUCCAAAUAUCUCACCUCCCGCAAAGAGGAGGAGAAGAGGAAAGCAAGGUCACGAUGGAAAGAUCUACUUGGAAGUGUUUGUAAAGAAUUCCUUCCUCUAAAGCUUCUGCUCAUGGUGGAUGGAGGCCGCCACGUUUGUGCAGGGACACAGACUCUUCGGCUGACCUGACGGGCUCAGAGGCAGGCACCACCCUUAAAAUGCAUCAUGGCGAGUCCUUUCCUUGGAAUCUCUAGUUGGACUAUGGAGGAAUUGAGCUGUGGGAGAACAGACUUGCAACAUUUUGUGGAGUGAUGGACCCUUCCAUCGGAACAUGGGAACAGAAGUCACGCAGAAUGCCGAGGCCCCAGCACCGCCCUGAACUCAAAACUAACGCUCUGGCUCUAGCUCCUGUGACUCGUGACUGGGAACUUGACCUUCAUGGCCUCAAGAGCCUCUGUUGGGCUUGCAAUAAACUCUUCUUACUCAAGUUCAUUUAGGUGUGCUUCUGGUUUUUACAACCCAAAGGACCACAACUAUUACAGAUAGCUGCCUUUGGAAUAUAUUUAUUUUAGGGUAUAGAGGUCAGCAGCCUAGACUCAGCAGUCAGACUUCUCAGGUUCAAAUCCCA